UGUUAUCGCUAACUUGAAAGAUAAAAAUUGAUAAAAAGUAGCUUAACCAAAACAGUUCUAUGCGUACGUAAAAAUCGUGAAUUACAAGUAGACUUUGCUUGAAGUUUUUUUACAGUUUUUGAAGUAAUUUUUUUUUUUAAUUUUAAUAAAUGGUCUUUCUAUGUAUGUUGUUGACCAAUGGUUUAUAAUCAAAAGAAAUAUUUGAAGGAAUAAACAUUUGUAAGGUAGUUACUUAGAGCGUCAUGCCAAUUAAAACGAUUACUUUAGUUGCCGACAUAAGAAAAGGAAUAAUGAUUUUAUCAAAAUACGCACUCAACAGAUCGAAUGGUGGUGGUAGGCGCGUAAAAAGCAAUUCACUAGAUUUAUAACAUUUUUUCCUAAUUACUCUGGACAUAUUAUUAAAUAAAACAUUUUUUUUUUAAAUUUUUACUCUAUUUGCAUUGUGUAUGUCCCUUGUGUCUUUUUUUGUCCUUUGUGCCCUUUUUUGGGUAUGUCGCUUGUGUCCCUUAUUUAAUCUUUUUACUCUAUUUGCAUUGUGUAAGUUCCUUGAAGCAAUUUAGUUGUAUCUGAAUAAUUUACAUGAAAUAUAUAAUUUUUUG